rnacentral:rRNA from 1 species
GACGAACCGUGCGAACGUUGUUCGGAAUCACUGGGCUUAAAGGGCGCGUAGGCGGGUCGGCAAGUCCGGGGUGAAAGCCCCCAGCUCAACUGGGGAAGGGCCUUGGAAACUGCCGGUCUCGAGGGAGGUAGGGGCCUGUGGAACUUCGGGUGGAGCGGUGAAAUGCGUUGAUAUCCGAAGGAACGCCGGUGGCGAAAGCGACGGGCUGGAUCUCUUCUGACGCUGAGGCGCGAAAGCUAGGGUAGCGAACGAG